UAGUGGCGGACGGGUGAGUAACGGAAUCUGCCCUCAGGAGGGGGAUAACGGUUGGAAACGACCGCUAAUACCCCAUAUGCCGAGAGGUGAAACGAAAUUCGCCUGAGGAUGAGCCCGCGUCUGAUUAGCUAGUUGGUGGGGUAAAGGCCUACCAAGGCAUCGAUCAGUAGCUGGUCUGAGAGGAUGAUCAGCCACACUGGGACUGAGACACGGCCCAGACCCCUACGGGAGGCAGCAGUGGGGAAUUUUCCGCAAUGGGCGCAAGCCUGACGGAGCAACGCCGCGUGAGGGAUGAAGGCCUCUGGGCUGUAAACCUCUUUUCUCAAGGAAGAAGAACUGACGGUACUUGAGGAAUAAGCCACGGCUAA
rnacentral:rRNA from 1 species